UAGGGAAUCUUCGGCAAUGGCCGGAAGUCUGACCGCGCAACGCCGCGUGAGUGAAGACGGUUUUCGGAUCGUAAAGCUCUGUUGUUAGAGAAGAACGUUGGUAGGAGUGGAAAAUCUACCAAGUGACUGUAACUAACCAGAAAGGGACGGCUAACUACGUGCCAGCAGCCGCGGUAAUACGUAGGUCCCGAGCGUUGUCCGGACUUAUUGGGCGUACAGCGAGCGCAGGCGGUUCUUUAAGUCUGAAGUUAAAGGCAGUGGCUUAACCAUUGUACGCUUUGGAAACUGGAGGACUUUAUUGCAGAAGGGGAGAGUGGAAGUCCAUGUGUAGCGGUGAAAUGCGUAGAUAUAUGGAGGAACACCGGUGGCGAAAGCGGCUCUCUGGUCUGUAACUGACGCUGAGGCUCGAAAGCGUGGGGAGCAAACAGG
rnacentral:rRNA from 1 species